rnacentral:rRNA from 1 species
CAGUAGCCACGGGAAUACGGAGGGUGCAAGCGUUAUCCGGAUUCACUGGGUUUAAAGGGUGCGUAGGCGGAUCUGUAAGUCAGUGGUGAAAUCUCCAGGCUUAACCUGGAAACUGCCGUUGAUACUAUAGGUCUUGAAUUUUGUGGAGGUUAGCGGAAUAUGUCAUGUAGCGGUGAAAUGCAUAGAUAUGACAUAGAACACCAAUUGCGAAGGCAGCUGGCUACACAACUAUUGACGCUGAGGCACGAAAGCGUGGGGAUCAAACAGGAUUAGAUACCCGGGUAGUCCCUGUCUCUUAUAA